rnacentral:rRNA from 1 species
AGUGAACGCUGGCGGUAGGCCUAACACAUGCAAGUCGAACGGCAGCACAGUAAGAGCUUGCUCUUACGGGUGGCGAGUGGCGGACGGGUGAGGAAUACAUCGGAAUCUACUUUUUCGUGGGGGAUAACGUAGGGAAACUUACGCUAAUACCGCAUACGACCUACGGGUGAAAGCAGGGGAUCUUCGGACCUUGCGCGAUUGAAUGAGCCGAUGUCGGAUUAGCUAGUUGGCGGGGUAAAGGCCCACCAAGGCGACGAUCCGUAGCUGGUCUGAGAGGAUGAUCAGCCACACUGGAACUGAGACACGGUCCAGACUCCUACGAGAGGCAGCAGUGGGGAAUAUUGGACAAUGGGCGCAAGCCUGAUCCAGCCAUACCGCGUGGGUGAAGAAGGCCUUCGGGUUGUAAAGCCCUUUUGUUGGGAAAGAAAAGCGGCAGGUUAAUACCCCGCUGUUCUGACGGUACCCAAAGAAUAAGCACCGGCUAACUUCGCG